ensembl:ncRNA asRNA:CR43866 antisense RNA:CR43866
AGCGGUGCUCCGCCAGUUCUCCAGCGGGAGCAAGGCUGGGUCUAGAUCCAUGCUGGGCAGCUCGGUCUCGUACAGGACGAGGCCCGAGUACAAGUCUAGUUCCUCGAAGGUUUUCGGCUUGAUCGAUUCGACGGGAUCACCCUUGGAGAGCGCAGCACGUCCUUCCGUCGAGAGCAGUGUCAGCUUGGGUGUCAGCUCCACCCUUCCGUAGGCCAGACGCUUAGCGGGAUUCAAGGUGAUUUCCGGCAGCGGAAGGAAUUCUCCAAUCACAGCCUUGACAAGGUUGUACUUAGUGGUGACGCCACCGGCCUCGUCCAUCACUGCAUCGUAGUCGUAGCUGGUUAUGUCUGCCGCAUAUCCGAUGCCACCGUCCAGAUUAUAGUUGGCACCAGCAGUGAACCCAAAGUUUGUGCCGCCAAAGAACAUAUAGAGGUUAACACUAGCGUUGUAGCUCAGAAUUGUCCUGGAAAUGUGAAAAUGCUCAUAAAUCUGGGUAGAACCGAUAUCAUACCGAAACCGGUUUUGAAGAAACCUUAUACCCCGUAUUUCCAACAUACCUUAGUGCAUUGGCUACCUCCUGGCCAUCACGCCUUUGGUUCUGCUCCUGCCAAUGCGUUAGCCAGCCGGGAUAGAACUCCGAGUUGACCAGUGGGCCAGUCGGCUGCAGGGCACGCAGCAUUGCCCAGAUUUUGUCAAUCUCAUUGACUGCAAUGCGGGUUUGGUGUAUACUUUCUGUUUUUAUAACAACCACUUGGCAUACUCACUGCGAUCGAUGCCGAAGUCAGUGGUGGCGAACACGUUCUCGAUCUUUCCACAGCUCAUCUUCUCGUUGGGUAUGUCCACCGUGAAGAGCAGCGCCUUGCCGGACACAUACUUCUCCGUCUCGUCUCGCAGCCAGUUGAGGUAGUCGUGAUCGCAGGCAUAGUCACCGUACUCGUUCUCCACCUGCACCAUUAUGAUCUUGCCGCCGUUGCCUACGAACAGGUGCUGGAGGCGUGGCAUCAGCUCCGCAUACCACUUGCCCACCUCUGAGAUGUAGUUGGGGUCAUUGGUCCGCAUCUUGAUGGACGGGUAUUUGGUAAACAACCAGUGAGGAAGACCACCCUGAAAAGAGGCAAUAUUAGUCAAAAUUAUGAAUAAUAAUACUAAUUUCGAACGAAAACCAGUUAGAGCCAAAAACGUUUGUAGUAGAGAAAGUAUUUAAGCACAUUCAGCAACAAAAUCAUUUUAUACUUGCAUUAUCUCGCUCAGCACAAAUGUAGGGACCUGGGCGGAGAAUGAUGUAGAAGUCUUCCUCCUGAGCAAUCUCCAGAAACUUGACAACAUCCGCAAUGCCCUCCCAGUUGUAUUCUCCAUCGUGCGGAUUGUGGAGCGACCAUUCAACAUAGCUGGAUAAACUUACGUAUCCAGAGCAUUAAGACCAGAUGCUCGCAUGGUGCGCAACCGACUUCGCCAGGACUCGGGUACAGCGCGGAAAUAGUGAAACGAUCCAGAGACGUACCGGAAGGGCUGGCCAUCCAGCAUGAAGGUGUUGGCCUCAUGGUCGAUCGUAAACCUUGGCUGUUCCUGUAAAAAAUGCGCAUUUAAAUCAGGCACGGAUUUAGCAAUCGCCUUAUAGUUGCACGCAAGGAAAAACCAUUUGGUUGGGCAACUGCAACUCACCUCGAGGAGAUCGGUGUUACCACCCAUCACUGCACUUAACCUGUCACUUGAAUAAUUAUAGAGAUUGCCAAUCUUAGUCAGACUAAAAAAUGUUUAACCCAGUCUGCUAACUUGUAUUUAUAAAACAGUUACUACUUUUAUUGUUGUUUAAUAUUGAACGAUGUGAAUAU